rnacentral:rRNA from 1 species
GAUGAACGCUGACAGAAUGCUUAACACAUGCAAGUCGAUGGGGAAGUGGUGCUUGCACCAUGGCAACCAUGGCGGACGGGUGAGUAACGCGUAAGGGACUUACCUGCAGGACUGGGAUAACAGGGGGAAACUCCUGACAAGACCGGAUAAUGUCAUGGAGCUGCAUGGCUUUAUGAUGAAAGGAGACGCCUGCGGAGAGCCUUGCGUCCUAUUAGCUAGUUGGUGAGGUAAUGGCUCACCAAGGCGAAGAUAGGUAGCCGGCCUGAGAGGGUGGACGGCCACAAGGGGACUGAGAUACGGCCCUUACUCCUACGGGAGGCAGCAGUGGGGAAUAUUGGAUAAUGGGGGCAACCCUGAUCCAGCAAUUCUGUGUGCACGAAGAAGGUUUUCGGAUUGUAAAGUGCUUUCAGCAGGGAAGAAGUAAGUGACGGUACCUGCAGAAGAAGCGACGGCUAAAUACGUG